UACGGGGGGAGCAAGCGUUGUUCGGAUUUACUGGGCGUAAAGGGCGCGUAGGCGGCCACCGCAAGUCGACUGUGAAAUCUCCGGGCUUAACCCGGAAAGGUCAGCCGAUACUGCGGGGCUAGAGUGCAGAAGGGGCAACUGGAAUUCUCGGUGUAGCGGUGAAAUGCGUAGAUAUCGAGAGGAACACCUGCGGCGAAGGCGGCUUCCUGGGCCGCGCCUGACGCUGAGACGCGAAAGCGUGGGGAGCGAACGGG
rnacentral:rRNA from 1 species